rnacentral:sRNA from 1 species
UAAUGCUUUGUUGGUUCUUAACAGGUCC